AUGACAUAUCGCUGUCGUUCGGCCGCCUCGGGCUUGCCUCCUCUUGCAUCUCCGUGGUUGCGGUCGUCUGACAGCCUUGGGCUAGCCUCCUCGUGCAUCAUUGUGGUAGCCAUCGUCCAGCCGCCUCGUGCUAGCCGUACAACAGCCUUCGUCGGCGGCUUGGGCCCGAGGACAGCGGGAAGUGAAGGAGAGCCACGGGGAGGAACUGAUUUCGAUCUGCGCGGAUGCCGCGGAAGAAGCGGCUUCGUCCCCGAGAUCCAACGUCGCAGAGAUCAUCGGGGUUGUGUGGGAAGGGGGCUGGAGGCACCGAGAUCCAACGUCGUGCUCCUCCUCUCGCUCUUUGGCAAUCACGGGUCGGCCGCGGAUGUGGUGCGGCGGCGCAUGGUCAGGCGCGGGGCGGGCCCUGGCAGGAGGCGGAGAUGGGAUUGGGAGGCAGCCAGGUAG
rnacentral:rRNA from 1 species